UACGUAGGGUGCGAGCGUUAAUCGGAAUUACUGGGCGUAAAACGUGCGCAGGCGGUUCUCCAAGUCCGUUGUGAAAGCCCCGGGCUCAACCUGGGAAUGGCAGUGGAAACUAGGGGACUUGAAUCUGGCAGAGGGGGGUGGAAUUCCACGUGUAGCAGUGAAAUGCGUAGAGAUGUGGAGGAACACCGAUGGCGAAGGCAGCCCCCUGGGCUGAGAUUGACGCUCAGGCACGAAAGCGUGGGGAGCAAACAGG
rnacentral:rRNA from 1 species